CUAAUUGUCAGUGGCCUGGUGUGACAUCAAAAAGUUUGAUUUCAUUGUGGCCGUCGUGGGGUCCUCCCAUUUCUCUUCCUCUCUUUGCCAACACCACAAACGGCGUUUUUUUUCAUUUUCU
ensembl:ncRNA F29B9.13 ncRNA